ACCCUGCUCCUUGUUACACUCUGGCUUCCCAUCUGUGAACCUCUGAUGACCCUGAAUCUCCAUCGGCCAUUGGCGCUGAGGUACGAAGCUGCUUGUGUCUUUUGGAGCCGAGUAAGCCGGAUUGUGAUGGUUGGAGAGUGGCUUCCCUAACAGACGAAAUUAAGAGAGCUACCGGGACUCCCCGCACUCGAACCAUUACGAUUCGAACCAAGAUAUCUGCACGAGUGGAUCAGACUCCGUUGCACCCAAGCCAACCCUCCAUUCUUUGGAUAUAAUUCUCCACACGUUUCCAUAAUGCAAACAAACAAUUGAGAAA
rnacentral:lncRNA from 1 species